AUUGAACGCUGGCGGCAGGCCUAACACAUGCAAGUCGAGCGAGCGGCGGACGGGUGAGUAAUGUAUGGGGACUGCCCGAUAGAGGGGGAUAACUACUGGAAACGGUGGCUAAUACCGCAUACUAUCGGAUAACCCAUAUGGGAUUAGCUAGUAGGUGGGGUAAAGGCUCACCUAGGCGACGAUCUCUAGCUGGUCUGAGAGGAUGAUCGGCCACACGGAAACGGGAACAGGGCCCAGACUCCUAGGGGGGAAGCAGGGGGAAAAUUGGCACAAGGGGGGCAGGCCUGAUGAAGCAAUGCGCGGUGUAGGAGGAAGGCCUGAGGGUUGUAAAGUACUUUCAGCGGGGAGACGUAACCCGCGGAAGAAGCACCGCCUAACUCCGUGCCAGCAGCGGCGGUAAAC
rnacentral:rRNA from 1 species